rnacentral:rRNA from 1 species
GAUGAACGCUAGCUACAGGCUUAACACAUGCAAGUCGAGGGGCAGCAUGGUCUUAGCUUGCUAAGGCCGAUGGCGACCGGCGCACGGGUGAGUAACGCGUAUCCAACCUUCCCUAUAGUAGGGGAUAGCCCGUAGAAAUGCGGAUUAAUACCCUAUGUUGUAUUUUGAUGACAUCAGAUGAAUACCAAAGGUUUACCGCUAUAGGAUGGGGAUGCGUACGAUUAGGCAGCAGGCGGGGUAACGGCCCACCUGGCCAACGAUCGUUAGGGGUUCUGAGAGGAAGGUCCCCCACACUGGUACUGAGACACGGACCAGACUCC